UACGGGAGGAGCAGUGGGGAAUAUUGCACAAUGGGCGCAAGCCUGAUGCAGCCAUGCCGCGUGUAUGAAGAAGGCCUUCGGGUUGUAAAGUACUUUCAGUCGUGAGGAAGGUGUUAAGGUUAAUAACCUUAGCAAUUGACGUUAGCGACAGAAGAAGCACCGGCUAACUCCGUGCCAGCAGCCGCGGUAAUACGGAGGGUGCGAGCGUUAAUCGGAAUUACUGGGCGUAAAGGGCACGCAGGCGGUUAAUUAAGUUGGAUGUGAAAUCCCCGGGCUUAACCUGGGAAUGGCAUUCAAGACUGGUUAGCUAGAGUCUUGUAGAGGGGGUAGAAUUCCAUGUGUAGCGGUGAAAUGCGUAGAGAUGUGGAGGAAUACCGGUGGCGAAGGCGGCCCCUGGACAAAGACUGACGCUCAUGUGCGAAAGCGUGGGGAGCAAACGAGGGAUUAGAUACC
rnacentral:rRNA from 1 species